UACGUAGGGUGCGAGCGUUGCCCGGAUUUAUUGGGCGUAAAGGGCGCGUAGGCGGUCACGCACGUCCGUUGUGAAAUCGCUCGGCUCAACUGGGCGGGGUCAGCGGAUACGGCGUGGCUGGAGCAAGCUAGGGGGCAAUGGAAUUCCCGGUGUAGUGGUGGAAUGCGUAGAUAUCGGGAGGAACACCAGUGGCGAAGGCGGUUGCCUGGAGCUUUGCUGAUGCUGAUGCGCGAAAGCGUGGGGAGCGAUCCGG
rnacentral:rRNA from 1 species